AACGAACGCUGGCGGCAUGCCUAACACAUGCAAGUCGAACGAUCCCUUCGGGGAUAGUGGCGCACGGGUGCGUAACGCGUGGGAACCUGCCCUUAGGUUCGGAAUAACUCAGAGAAAUUUGAGUUAAUACCGGAUAAUGUCUUCGGACCAAAGAUUUAUCGCCUUUGGAUGGGCCCGCGUUGGAUUAGCUAGUUGGUGGGGUAAAGGCCUACCAAGGCGACGAUCCAUAGCUGGUCUGAGAGGAUGAUCAGCCACACUGGGACUGAGACACGGCCCAGACUCCUACGGGAGGCAGCAGUGGGGAAUAUUGGACAAUGGGCGAAAGCCUGAUCCAGCAAUGCCGCGUGAGUGAUGAAGGCCUUAGGGUUGUAAAGCUCUUUUACCCGGGAUGAUAAUGACAGUACCGGGAGAAUAAGCCCCGGCUAACUCCGUG
rnacentral:rRNA from 1 species